GGGGAUACACACGGAGCUGGGAAAGGACACAGCUGGGACAGCUGACCCUGACUGACCAAGGAAAUAUCCCAUACCAUAGGACAUCACACUCAGCAAUAAACUCGGGGGAAAGUUGGCUGGGGGUUUCCUGCUCGAGGACUGGCUGGGCAUCGAUCUAUUGGUGUUUGGUAAAUCCUGCUACCAACCAUCCAACUUGCAAUCAGUCCUCAGAGGCACAACUUAUAAGAAGUCAAGAACCGUAACUCUUCCUGGUUCUUCAACUUGGGAUGAGGAAGAAAGCUGUAUGAGGAAGUGGAGGAAUUCAGAAGGAGGAAGUGAAGCCUGAGAAGAGGAGGUGUUGGACAGAAGUGUUACAUCAAGGAAACUCCCAGUUAAACUCUGAAGUUCUACCAGCCUUUCAUGCCACCAUGUAUCCUUCCACCAAAGCACGAAAAAUUUUAAAAGCUUAUUUAAAUUUAGUUGUCAGUGAGAAUUCUUUUCUUCUGCUCUGUGAAAUGUCAUCCUGCUGUUCAGUUCAAACUUGGGGUCGGUCUGCUCCUCAGAAAUAGUUACUAAGUUCCAUAUAAAACUUGUUAAAGCUUUUAUUAGCAGAAUUCUGUAAUUUAGGAAUAUUUUAGUUGUGUUUAAUUAUGUGAGGCAGUAGACAGUGUUGGCAAGACAAUUUAUGUGUUCAAGAUGAAGGAAUUAUUCAGCUCAAUCAUUAUUACUUAAUUUAACUAUUUGGUUUUCUAAUUGAAUUAGUCUUUGCAGUUACUAAGAACUCGUAGAUUAUAAGACUUGUGGCUUCCAACAAAGUCAGCACUUUGAUCCUGAAAUCCUGUCUGCACCAGCAAAUUGUGUGUAAGUUAAUGAAAUCCUCACACUCAAUGCAUUCUGUAUCAGUGCACAGGGAAGUAAACACAAUCACAUCAUGCCUACUGUCCUAUGAGAAAUUAUUAAAAAUCAUUCUCUUUAUAUAUUGAAUAUCACAGUAUCACAGUAUCACAGUAUAUUUGGGAUUGGAAGGGAUCUCAAAAGAUCAUCUAGUCCAAUCCCCCUGCUGGAGCAGGAACGCCUAGGUGAGGUCUCACAGGAACAUGUCCAGGCAGGUUUUGAAUGUCUCCAGCAAAGGAGACUCCACAACGCCCCUGGGCAGCCUGUUCCAGUGCUCUGUCACCCUCACUGUGAAGAAGUUUUUUCUCAAAUUUAAGUGGAACCUCUUGUGUUCCAGCUUGAUCCCAUUACCCCUUGUCCUAUCAUUGUUUGCCACCGAGAAGAGCCUGGAUCCAUCCUCGUGGCACUCACCCUUUAUAUAUUUUUAAACAUUAAUAAGGUCACCCCUCAGUCUCCUCUUCUCCAAACUAAAGAGACCCAGCUCCCUCAGCCUUUCUUCAUAAGGGAGGUGCUCCACUCCCUUAAUCAUCUUUGUCGCCCUGUGCUCUCCAGCAGUUCCCUGUCCUUGAACUGAAGGGCCCAGAACGGGACACAAUAUUCUAGGGGUCUCACCAGGGCGGAGUAGAGGGGAAGGAGGACCUCUCUCGAUCUACUAACCACCCCCCUUGUAAUACACCCAAGGAUGCCAUUGGCCUUCCUCUCCACAAGGGCACCGUGCUGGCUCAUGGUCAUCCUGUUGUCCACCAGGGCCCCCAGGUACCUUUCCCCUACACUACUCUCUAAUAUGUAAUUUCCCAAACUAUACUGGAACAUGGGGUUGUUCCUGCCCAGAUGCAGGACUCUACACUUUCCCUUGUUAAAUUUCAUCAUAUUCUUGAAUAUUUAAUACAUUCUAGAAAAAAACUAACAAAAUAUAAAUUACCAGCUUCAUUUUAUAUGAAAAAGAGAGUGUUGAAGUGGAAUUUCAGCCAGAUAUCACAAUAGAGAGAGAAAUAAAAAUGUAGAAAAUGAAACAGGAGAUUAAAAUUAAUGAGGUAAUACUUUUCACUUGUUAUAAUGCAUUUUUAAUCCUAAUUUGAAAGGGAGUAUAAGAUAAAACACCCUACAGGUUUAUGCAAUAGUGGAAACAGAAGCUUGCUCUUGGCUUCUGUAAGUCCAAGCUUUGUGUGCACACUCACAUAAACACAUUCACACAUAAAAUGUAUCACUUGUUAAAAUGAAAUUUCCCUAGAGGUAUUGCUGUGUAAGAGAAAUCUUUUGCCUUAGUGCUGUACCAGUCCACCAUUUCCAGUCAUAAUGAGCUAUUUUACUUUGUAUCCUGUCGUUGAAGCUUUUUUAUGAGAAUCUUUGUUCUUCCAUUUGGAUAAGUAUUUUAUGAUUUUCAUUCUUCAUUGGCUUAAAGGUCAUUAUCAGUUCUAGUUA